rnacentral:rRNA from 3 species
UACGUAGGGUGCGAGCGUUGUCCGGAAUUAUUGGGCGUAAAGAGCUCGUAGGCGGUCUGUCGCGUCGAUCGUGAAAACUUGGGGCUUAACCCUGAGCUUGCGGUCGAUACGGGCAUGACUGGAGUUCGGCAGGGGAGACUGGAAUUCCUGGUGUAGCGGUGAAAUGCGCAGAUAUCAGGAGGAACACCGGUGGCGAAGGCGGGUCUCUGGGCCGAUACUGACGCUGAGGAGCGAAAGCGUGGGGAGCGAACAGG